CUCAUAACUGCUUUAAAAAUAAAUAAAUGGCAUGGAGUAGAACAGGGAAGGUAACACCAAAGCUAACACAGCAGGUCGGCUUGACAAGAGAGACACCAAAAUCUCCAGCAGUGCCACUUGUUUCCAACACCUUUAUCCACUUCAACCAAGUCGCUCUGCAUACUAAACACAUCCGCUCUGAAUCAACAAACGCCCAGAGACGGGAACAAAAAGACGGAAAGUGAGAAAGGAAAUUAGAAAGAGGGGUGAGAGGAUGAUGAAUGGAAGACGCUAAAGUGGGUCCCAGGUGUACAGCGGUAUGGCAGAGAAAGCAGAAAUCUCCUUCGUCACAUCGAGCAAAGUGAAGAUGGAUCAGAAGUAAGUGAAGAUGAUGACGGGCUGCAGGAAUACUUGGCAGGAGAAAAGAAAGAUUGAUGAGGAUUGAUGAGGAUGAGGCUAGAACAGCACAAGGCAGAUGGGAAGAGUGAUUUCAACACUCUUCUUCCUCAGAUUGUCUGAACAACAGUUGCAUGGAGCAAAACCGCAAUAGGUGUUUGUGUUGAUAGAAAGCUUCUUCAAUGCACAGCAGCAACACCUGAAUGAAUUAUUUAAGCCGACGGAGCAAACAUGACGUGUGCUGCACUCGGAUAGAUGUACGCCAACUGUGAGCACAUGUCGACUGCAAAUAAACCCGAGUGCUGCUUGUCGUUAUCCAUG